UGUAUGUCCCUUGAAAUUGAAUAUUCAUUAAUUAAUACCACUAAGUUUUGAACCUAACUAUGUUGUUAUCUGUAGACACUUGAUGAAAGAAAUAAAGAAGAAUAAGGAUUCUAUCACAUGUCUUGACCCUGAGGCCAUUACAAUAUCAGUCAUCCAAUUCACCCUGAUUAUGCUAUGGACCAUGUGGUCAGGGCAAUGCAACAAUAUUCCAAAAUGCAGUACCUCAUGGGCUCCCGUAACACCAGUAGCCAUUGAAUCUUACUAGUCAUUUUCCUGAAGUGGGACUUAGUGUUCUACCUUGACUCGUCAAGACCAGUAGGAUGAAAAGGCAAACCUGGAGAGCAUGAUUACAAUGCUGUAAAAGGAAUGCUCGACACGGCUUUUGACAAGUAUAUUCGAGCUCAACCUGACUAUGACGCGAAAGCCAACCACAAACUGACACACAAGAUCGGGUUCACGCAGUGCCACCAACAACCAUCGGUCAACACUUGUGGAUUCUAAAAUGCGUGGAACAUGCUCCUCACACUCCGCAUGAAAGAUAUCAAAUCCUCCUAUGCAAGUUCAAUAUAAGAUUAUGCGUAGCUAAUUUCAGUAAUUAGUUUAAUUCCAUGAUAACAUGACAUUGGUUACAUGUCAAAUUAUUUAGGAAUUUGAUGCUCUUUUUUUCUACAACGAUGCAAUUUUGGAGAUUCGACGACAGAUCGCAAAGUUCUUGGUGGCUGAAGUCAUAAGCCCACAC